UGACAGCAGCCGCGGUCAUCCGUAGUGGGUUAUCGUUGUUCGGAAUUACUGGGCGUAAAGCGCGCGUAGGCGGAUUGUAAAGUUGGGGGUGAAAUCCCGAGGCUCAACCUCGGAACUGCCUCCAAAACUCCCAGUCUAGAGUUCGAGAGAGGUGAGUGGAAUUCCAAGUGUAGAGGUGAAAUUCGUAGAUAUUUGGAGGAACACCAGUGGCGAAGGCGGCUCACUGGCUCGAUACUGACGCUGAGGUGCGAAAGUGUGGGGAGCAAACAGGAUUAGAUA
rnacentral:rRNA from 1 species